rnacentral:rRNA from 1 species
UCGAGAGGCUUCGGCAAUGGGGGAAACCCUGACCGAGCGACGUCGCGUGGGUGAUGAAGGUCCUUGGACCGUAAAACCCUGUCAGGUGGGAUGAAAUGUCAUUUGGUAAAUAGCCAGGUGGCUUGACAGUACCACCAGAGGAAGCUCCGGCCAACUCCGUGCCAGCAGCCGCGGUAACACGGGGGGAGCAAGCGUUGUUCGGAAUCAUUGGGCGUAAAGAGCUCGUAGGCGGCUCCGUAAGUCAGGGGUGAAAUUCAACGGCUCAACCAUUGACGCGCCUCUGAAACUACGGAACUUGAGUUCAGGAGAGGAAAGCGGAAUUCCAGGUGUAGCGGUGAAAUGCGUAGAUAUCUGGAGGAACACCGGUGGCGAAGGCGGCUUUCUGGCCUGAAACUGACGCUGAGGAGCGAAAGCCAGGGGAGCGAACG